rnacentral:rRNA from 1 species
GACGAACGCUGGCGGCGUGCUUAACACAUGCAAGUCGAGCGGUAAGGCCCUUUCGGGGGUACACGAGCGGCGAACGGGUGAGUAACACGUGGGUGACCUGCCCUCAGCUCUGGGAUAAGCCUGGGAAACCGGGUCUAAUACUGGAUAUGACUCCAUGACGCAUGUUGUGGGGUGGAAAGCCUUGUGCGGCUGAGGAUGGGCCCGCGGCCUAUCAGCUUGUUGGUGGGGUGANGGCCUACCAAGGCGACGACGGGUAGCCGGCCUGAGAGGGCGACCGGCCACACUGGGACUGAGACACGGCCCAGACUCCUACGGGAGGCAGCAGUGGGGAACCUUGCGCAAUGGGCGAAAGCCUGACGCAGCGACGCCGCGUGAGGGAUGACGGCC